UUCCUGUGUGGUGGGGGGUGGAGGGUGCGGGUUACCGUUUGCUUUCCUAAUAAUAUGAGGGCAAAUUUGGGACCCGAACUCACCAGUGACGUAGCUUCACGUGACCAGGAUGCUGAAGUCUUGGUCCAGAUAGCGGUUCUUGCUCAGAUCCAGCUUGACUGCAGUUUCAGACUCCAGAGUCCAACUGGCUCUCACAGCCAGAGGGAGAGAGACAGACAGAGAGAGAGAGAGAGAGGACAGAGAGAGACCCUUGAGAUAUUCGCUCCAGCUGUGGCAUGGGCCGUGCUCAGAAUUUGGGCUUGAUGGCAGCAGGCCUGGUGGUCGGGACUGGCUCCUGGUACUACAUAUACCAACUAACAUGUGGUGGAGAG